UAUCAAUGAAUCUUUGCGGGACCAGCUGCUGGUGACCAUCCAGAAGACCUUCACGUACACUCGAACACAAGCGCAGCAUCUGUUCAUCGUCCUCAUGGAGUGCAUGAAGAAGAAGGAACUGAUUACAGUAUUUCGGAUGGGAUCAGAAGGACACCAGGACAUUGAUUUAGCUAUCCUGACAGCUUUGCUCAAAGGAGCCAAUGCCUCUGCCCCGGACCAACUGAGCUUGGCCUUAGCCUGGAACCGAG